AGCUCCAAGAAUACACGGAGGAGGUGGCCCGGAUCGGCGUCGACGCCGUCUGGCACGAGCCACAGGCCCGCUUUCAAGUGCGUCUGCACGCCGGCCACCCACGCCGGGUCCUUCAAGUGCCGCUUCCACCGCACCAACUCCCAGGGCCACGGCCACAGGCAGGGCCAGGGAAGCCGCCCUUCUUCGCCCCCUUCACCGGCCGCGGCCAAUGCGGUGCCGCGGCACCCGGCCUCGCCGUCCUCGUCCUCUGGCACCAUCGCGACCCAGUGA
rnacentral:rRNA from 1 species